CUUACUUCCCUGAGCCUAGAGACGUUAGAAGUGCGUUUGCAGACAUACUUCUCUGAGCAAAGUGACGAGUGACCAGGUUUGCAGACGCUCCACAUCGAGACACGAAUGGCUGCAUUGCAGAUACCGGUACAGCUGUGGCUGUACAUUGGGAUUUUGGUCUACCUUAAUUAUGGGUGUGCACGAACCAGUGGCGCGCAACCAGUCGUGCUGACUAACUGGGAACUGGACUUAAGAACUCAAACUGUUUCCCAUGAUGAUGAACUUGAUUUGGUUCAGAACACGUGCACUAGUAUGGAUCCCAAUGAGGCGUACGAGAGCUGGAUCCUGGCUAGGAAUGAUGCAUAUGGCUGUGUGGAUUUGCGCGAGAAUGAUGUUCUUCGUGCCGGAUGUGGAGCUGGGCGUGCAGAGGAAGGGGGACCGGCCACAGAAGAAGAGCAUACUUAUGUCAGCAUCCAAUAACGCCAAAUGUUUUUCACAGCCCAGGAAUUUUUAAUUUUUACAGAAUGAUACAUAUCCUCAACGAAAUGCAAAUGAUGCAGUAUCAUUUAACUCUGUUGUUGAGCCAAUAGUAAUAUGUAAAGAGAAUAAGGACCUAUAAGUUACUAGCUAUGACUCAAAGUCCACAAAGGUAAAGAGAUAAUAUAAAGCCAGGUGACGUGUGAAAUCAGUGUCAUGUCGUAGAAUGUCUCAAUAAACUUGUUCGUCUUGUGCCGUGCUGUCUCACUAUCUGAUGCUAUAAUUAUUAAUUCGUUACCUUGGUGGACAGUUAAUUAUAACUAGUAACUUAUAGGGCCUUUUUUCUCUUCACACAAAACUGUAUCAUGGUAUACUUUUUCACAGCAAACACGCCAUAUGUUGCAGUCUUUCUGAGUUUUUUCUUCAUAUCUCACUGCCUCAAACUCCAGUAGCGCAUGCAUUUAUUACUGAGAUACUCUCAAAUAUUCAUUGCAGCUCUUGUGUCCUGAUGUCACGGAUCGGUAUGGAUAACAUUUGUAACUUUCACAAGUAAGUUCAGUGGUAAACGGUUCGGAGCGAGAUUUUUGAAGUAAUUUGCUAUACAUGUAUGUUGACGGUGAUUCGUAACCGAAUCUCUAUAUCUAUAUCACCGGACGAAUUACCAUUGACAUUAUAUAUCCCACCUGUGCAUUUAAUCCCUGUCAGUAAAUCCAUUGCAUAGCAGCAAAUUGCAGCUCGGUCGUUAUAAACUUGCAGCAGGUGUAUAUUUUUUUGCUUAUGUUUAUGAUUCAAAAGUCGCUAGAAUUUUAUUCACACUUUGUUUCUGUUUGGUAGCACUUCUCUCUAAAUUUCGCAUGCAUAAUCAGUAUAUCCGUUCACUGUGGUUAUGAAUUGUUUUAUAAACAUGUGCAUAACAGUA